CCCGUGCUGUCGCCCCCUUCCUCGUGGC
rnacentral:sRNA from 1 species